UACGUAGGUAGCGAGCGUUGUUCGGAGGUUACUGGGCGUAAAGGGUGUGUAGGCGGUUCUCCAAGUUUGGUGUGAAAUCUCCCGCUCAACCGGGAGGGUGCGCCGAAAACUGGGGGGCUAAGAGUGCGGGAGGGGAGAAGUGGAAUUCCUGGUGUAGCGGUGAAAUGCGCAGGAUAAUCAGGAGGAACACCGGUGGCGAAGGCGGGUCUCUGGGGCCGAAUGACUGACGCUGAGGAGCGAAAGCGUGGGGAGCGAAGCAGG
rnacentral:rRNA from 1 species